UACGGAGGGGGUUAGCGUUGUUCGGAAUUACUGGGCGUAAAGCGUACGUAGGCGGAUUGGAAAGUAGGGGGUGAAAUCCCAGGGCUCAACCCUGGAACUGCCUCCUAAACUAUCAGUCUAGAGUUCGAGAGAGGUGAGUGGAAUUCCAAGUGUAGAGGUGAAAUUCGUAGAUAUUUGGAGGAACACCAGUGGCGAAGGCGGCUCACUGGCUCGAUACUGACGCUGAGGUACGAAAGUGUGGGGAGCAAACAGGAUUAGAUACCCGUGUA
rnacentral:rRNA from 1 species